AUUGAACGCUGGCGGCAGGCCUAACACAUGCAAGUCGAACGAGUGGCGGACGGGUGAGUAAUGUCUGGGAAACUGCCCGAUGGAGGGGGAUAACUACUGGAAACGGUAGCUAAUAACGCAUACCAGCGGAUGUGCCCAGCUGGGAUUAGCUAGUAGGUGGGGUAACGGCUCACCUAGGCGACCAUCCCUCGCUGGUCUGAGAGGAUGACCAGCCUCACUGGAACUGAGACACGGUCCAGACUCCUACGGGAGGCAGCAGUGGGGAAUAUUGCACAAUGGGCGCAAGCCUGAUGCAGCCAUGCCGCGUGUAUGAAGAAGGCCUUCGGGUUGUAAAGUACUUUCAGCGAGGAGGCGUUACUCGCAGAAGAAGCACCGGCUAACUCCGUGCCAGCAGCCGCGGUAAUUC
rnacentral:rRNA from 1 species